CUCAUUGGUCAGAUGCAGCUCCAUCCCUCCCCCCGUUGUUUCUCAUUAGUCAGCAGCAGCUCCGUCCCACUCCCAUCCAGCCUCUCAUUGGUUAGCGGCAGCUCUGACCCAUGCCGGCCUCUGAUUGGUCAGCAGCAGCUCUGACCCACCCCCGGUGGCCUCUAAUUGGUGAUCGGCAGCUCCAGCCUGCUCCUGCUGGCUCUCAUUGGUCAGCAGCAGCUCUGAUCCACCCCCGGUGGCCUCUCAUUGGUGAUCGGCAGCUCCAUCCCGUCCCUUCUGGCCUCUCAUUGGUCAAUGGCAUUUCUGGCCCUCCUCCAGUCUCUGAUUGGUGAGCGGAAGCACUGCCUUCUCCAAUUGACUGAGGGGCAGAGUGCGCCGUUGGCAACCGGCUCGGAAUCGCCCAGCUGUCCCCUCAGACGGCAGCCCGUGGCCGUCCCCUUCGCCGUGGGAUGCGGGGAUUUGGGGCGGCUGAAGGAGUCGGGGCCCCCACCGCUGUAGCGCUGCUGCCCCCAUUAGGGCCUGGAACCCCGAGCCUCCAGCUCUGCUCGCGGUGCCCCCCAAGGCUGAGGUGGUCUGUGGGUGUAGGGGCAGUGGCGGAGAUGUGGUGGGGAUGUGGGAGCUGAGGGGCUUUGGGGGCUAUUGGGGGAUGUGGGAGGAUAUGGGGCUGUAGGGUGCUGUGUGGGGAUCUCGAGGGAUAUGGGGAUAUCGGUGGGUUUUGGGAAUAGAGGGGGAUGGAGGGAUGUGGGGCCACAGGGGUUGCUAUAGAGGGAUGUAGGGCUGUGCGUGAGUUGUAGGAGGAGAUGGGGCUGUAGGGGGCUGUGUUGGGAAUCCAGGGAGGGUGUGAGGGGCCAUGGGGAGGCCAGAGGGAGAAAUGGGACUGUAGGGGGUAUAGGGUAGGGCUUUGGGGCGACAGGGGGCUGUCGUAGGUUAUAGGGGUGGAUAUUGGGGGAUAUGGGGCUGUAGUGUUCUGUGGGGGCUAUCGGGAGGGAUGUGGGGCUAUCAGGGCCUUUAGGAGGGCUGUAGAGGUAUAUAGGGAUUUGCGCUGUUUGUUGGGGGAUAUGAGGCUAUAAGGUGCUAGGGUGGCUCUAUGCGUAUGUGGGGUUUUAGGGAGCUUAAUUGUGUCUCUAGGGGGGCUAUUGGGCUCUGGAAAGCUGUGGGGGACUGUAGAAGGGGUAUUGGGGUAUAUGGGAAAAGAGGGGGCUGUGGUUGGGAUCUAGAGAUCUGUGGGGAGCUUGUGGGGGAUAUGGGGCUCUAGGGUGCUGUGGGGUCUUUAGGGAGAGUUUUAGGGCUAUAUGGGGGAUAUAGGGAGAUUUGGUUCUCUAGGGGGCUGUGGGGGUAUAGGGGUGAUAUGGGUCUGUAGGGGGCUUUGGGAGGAGCUCCACGGUUCUCUGAGGGGUCUGUAAGGGCUAUAGGUGUGUUCGAGGGGGAUAUGUGGCUCUGGGGGUUUGUGGCAACAUGUGGGAGGGUUGCGGGUGCUAGGGGUUGGGGGGGGGCUCUAGGGCAGGAUGUUGUGCUGUAGGAGAUUGUGGGGGCCUGAGGGAGGAUAUAGGGUGUCUGUGGGGGGCUGUUGGGGGAUAUAGAGGAGAUAUGGAGUAUAGUAGGGUUCUGGGGGGAUAUGAGGUUGGAUAUGGGAGAGUGUGGGGAUCUCUGGAGAGGGUCUAGGGCCAGUGUAGGGCUGUGGGUAGCUGUAAGGGGUGAUGGGGCUUUAAAGGCUGGGGGACUGUAGGGAGGGUGUUAGGGCUGUAGGGGGGAUAUGGGGUUCUAUGGGGCUUUAGGGAACAGGGGAAUAAUAUGUCGCUGUAGGGUGGUAUUGGGGGAGCUAUAUGGUUCUAUGGGGAGGCUAUAGGAGGCAGUGGGAGAGCUAUAGCAAGUUUAUAGGUGGUUAUGUGGCUAUAGGGUUCUGUGGGUGGGCUGUAGGAGGGUUCUAGUAGGGUAGGAGGCUAUAGGGGGCUAUGGAGGAGAUAUAAGGAGACAUGGGGCAAUUGUGGGUUUUUAGGGGGCUGUGGUGGGCUGUGUGAGGGUAUAGGAUGAUAGAGGGCCGGAGAGGGUUUCUAGAGAGGGAUGUUAUGCUGGAGAAGGUAUGGGGGGGGAUAAAAGAGGGCUUUGGAGGAUAUGAAGGGGCUCUUUUGGGCUCUUUGGAGAUAUAGGGAGAUCUGAGGCUAUAGGGGGUGUUUGGAGGAUGUGGUCCUCUAAGGGGCUGUGUGGGUCCACAGGAUGAUCUGGAGCUAUAGGGUGAUCUCUAAAGGGAUGUGGGGCUAGAAGGCUCUCCCUUCCUUCCUUUCCCCCCUUCCACAGCAGGGAGGGUGAAAUGCUAGUCAUGAAAUUGAAAUUGGAACUGAAGUUGUCUUGGAAUAGAAUAUGGUGCUUUUGUGGUCUUCAAUCUGAAACGUGUUUUCUCCUUGGGUUUAGGUUAUCUGUUUAUGUUUAAUGAUUAUGCUUAAUAAUCUAAUCAUGUUUCAUAAUGCCUUUUGAAAAGGUUUCAGUCUCACCGCGAGAUCCCUUGCAAGAGGCACUGCCCCUACUGCUGCAACGGCCCCAGUCUGGGACGCCCUUUUGUAAGGGGUUGUGUUGUUCGUUCUGCAGCUGACUUGGAUUUCUUCUGCCACUGUCCCAUGAAAGAGUUGAUUUGCUUCAGUCCAUCCCUGCUCCGUUCCUGGUUCAAGCCAAGCUCCAGUCCCUUCCCCGGUCUCAGUGGGAUCAGUUUGUUCUGUUCUCAUCCACUUACAGAAACAGAAGCUACCAACCCACCAAACCCUGGGACAGGUAUUUCCCUACAGAAGCAUUCAUGUCCUUCUCCUGGCCCCUUUGGCCAGUUCCCAGCUCUCCAAACUGAGGCAUACGGCUGCAGCCCAUCCCAUGGCUUCUCUGGGGCAGCUGUGGGGCAGCCCCACCCCGAGGAGGAGAUGCCUUUUCCCCACACGCAGCUGGUUCUACAGACACAUGGGGUGAGGACGUGGGGUUGUGGGUCACAUGGGGGUCCUGCAGGGUCAGAGAGUUACAAGGUGAUGGGGGGCUAUGGGGUCAGAUGGGGUGACAUGGAGUUACGGAUCACAUGGGUUGUAUGUUUGGGUGAGGUGGGGGCAGGGAUCCCAGAGUUCUGGGGCCAAAUGGAAUUGGGUCGCAGCGUGAUGGGUGCAGGCAGAGUCAGGGCGUCACAGGGUCAUGUGGGGGUAUGGUUCCCCCAGAGCUGUGGGUCGCGUGCAGCCAUGGGGUCACGCACAUACAGCGUGAUGAGGUCAUCUUGGGUUAUUGCUCAUGUGGGGUUACGGCUCAGGGCCCCACGUUUGGGCCUCAGGGACGCCCAGUCCCCUCUCAGGAUGAAUUGAAACCACUACAACUCACUCCCCCCCCACCCCCCCCCCUCUUUUUACCUCAAAUUGCUCCCCACAUCCUCCCAUACCCCCUAUGUCUCCAUACUACGCCAUGUACCUGUUUCCCACCUGCAGCCCACAUCUUGUCUUCUCUUGGACAGCAUUCUGCUCCUGCAGCCUGUGUUCCCAUAUCCCCCGAUGUCCCUAUAUCCCUCCCACACCCCGCACAGAGCCCCAUAGCUCCUCAAGGACCUUUUCCCGGUACACCUCCCCCCAGCAACCUGGGACCUCACAGAGCCCCACAGUCCCCAGCAGCACCCCACGUCCCCCUCUGAGCUCCCACUGAACUCCCCUAUUUCCUCCUUCAGACAUCCUUAACCUCUUCAGCCCCGUCCGCCCCGGCUUCUCGGACUCCCACAGUAUCUGAGAGGACCACCAUCACCAUCCCAGGAUCCCCAUAUCCCACCGACGAGGAACCCCACAGCAAUCCACAUCUCAGGAUGGGGCUCCAGCUUGGCCCGAAUGCGUUCAUUCAAGAGAGGAGAAUGAAUGAGCGUAAGGGGGCGCCUUUCCUCCUGACAUUGCCCACCGCCUGCGUGUUGGCUGUGCCGUGCCAGCAGCAUUUUGUCCUCGAGCUGUGAGUGCAGACGGAGGCCCUGAGAACAACAAGAGCCGUGUCUGUGUUCACCAAGGACUCACCUCUGCACGUGCAGCGGCAGCUCUGAGGGCAGCCUUCUUCAGCUCCACUCUCCUCUCUUUCUGUCUCUGUCUUCUUGCUAUAAGGCAAGAAAAAUAGAUGAAUUCAUUGUAUCAGCAGCACAAGUGCAGAAACAUGGGUGCCGUACAAGCAUAAGGCAGCAAAAAGAUGGAGGAAAUGGGACUAGGAAGCCUCCCAGUGAAUGACAUUUCCAGGGGGAUGUGCAGAAGACCACCAUGGAGUUAACGGGAAGAGACAGGGUUACACAUUCUGGCACCUCACUGCCUUUGGACUUUGUAGCCUUCCACUCUUUUCCCCUCCAUGGAGAAGGAGAAAGCAAAGCCAACCCUAAGCAAACUCAUUGUGCUCGAAAAGGGAAGCGCCUCAGCACGGCGGGUACCACAGCACCUUCUCACCUCUUUGCUUGGAGCUCCGCGCUGCAGCAGGCCCAGGGUGUGCUGCUGGAGCCGGCACGCUGUCUCCACUCGGCCCCCUCACUCUCUUAUUGGAAGGCUGCUGAGCUGCUGUUGGUUUCUCUUCCUCCAAGCCCUUGCGUUUAUAUCCAGCCAUGGGU
ensembl:lncRNA